AUACUUACCUGGCAGGGGAGACACCAUGAUCAUGAAGGUGGUUCACCCAGGGCGAGGCUCAACCAUUGCACACCCGGUUGUGCUGACCCUUGCGAAUUCCCCAAAUGUGGGAAUCUCGACUGCAUAAUUUAUGGUAGUGGGGGACUGCGUUCGCGCUCUCCCCUG